UCUCUCCCUCUAAUUCAUCAAGAGGAUCAACCUCUGGAGUCUCCCACCACCGGUGGCUUGAAGACUACGAACGUAAGUUUGAGAAAAUCGACCGCUAACUCAUCUAACUCCAGAUGGACAGUCAGCAAUCUUCAAAUGACUUCGAUUUUCAUACCGCUCAGCCUCUCUCCCAACUCAUCCUGGACGAACCGGUCCUGACUCAGUUCAAAAUGCCACACGUGGAGCCCUAUA
rnacentral:lncRNA from 1 species